rfam:Brachypodium distachyon strain Bd21 chromosome 1, whole genome shotgun sequence.
CGGAUACUCCCUCCGUCCAACAAAAGAUGUCUCCAAUUUGUCAAAAUUUGGAUAUAUCUAGACAUGACUUUGGAUAUAGUUCAAAUUUAGUCAAAGUUGAAACAUCUUUUGUUGGACGGAGGAAAUAAGUA